rnacentral:rRNA from 1 species
AUUGAACGCUGGCGGCAGGCCUAACACAUGCAAGUCGAGCGGAUGCAGGGAGCUUGCUCCUGGAUUCAGCGGCGGACGGGUGAGUAAUGCCUAGGAAUCUGCCUGGUCGUGGGGGAUCACGUCCGGAAACGGGCGCUAAUCCCGCAUACGUCCUGAGGGAGAAAGUGGGGGAUCUUCGGACCUCACGCUAUCAGAUGAGCCUAGUUCGGAUUAGCUAGUUGGUGGGGUAAAUGCCUACCAAGGCGACGAUCCGUAACUGGUCUGAGAGGAUGAUCAGUCACACUGGAACUGAGACACGGUCCAGACUCCUACGGGAGGCAGCAGUGGGGAAUAUUAGACAAUGGGCGAAAGCCUGAUCCAGCCAUGCCGCGUGUGUGAAGAAGGUCUUCGGAUUGUAAAGCACUUUAAGUUGGGAGGAAGGGCAGUAAGUUAAUACCUUGCUGUUUUGACGUUACCAACAGAAUAAGCACCGGCUAACUUCGUG